CUGACGCUUCAUGUUUGUUUGUAGAUCUGAGAAAGAUUAAUUAUUUUGUUUUAUUAAUAUUAUAAUUUAUUAUCUUAUAAAUUACCUUAAUUAUAUUAUUAUUAAAAAUAUUGUGAUUUGUGAUAAAUAGCAAUGAACUCGGAAGUGGUACAAGGCAAACCUUUGACGAAGGAUGAGACCAAGGCUAAGGUGCUACCGGUAGAAUCAAUGCGAGUGUCAAUAUCCAAUGACAUUGGUAUAGUAGUACCCAUAUCCGUGUCAACCCCAUUCAACACUUCCAAGUCCAUUAUCUUUAGUAAGUGGUACAAAUCCUUUAACACCAGAGACUGUAGACAAUGUCCUUGAAGUGAAUGAGUGCAAGCUGCCUGCUGCUCAAAGUUCCUUAAACUCACCCAAAAGGUUUACACUGAGUACACCAAGAAUAGGCAAAAAGAAAACUUAUAACUAUUGGCAGCAGUAGCUCUGUUAGAAAUAUAGCGAUAGCAGAAUAUUAUACUGCCAAGAAAGAAUGUGGCUGCUAAAAAAGAAAAUAUUUUAAUCCAGAGCGAAAAGUUGAAAUUAGAAAUUGAAAAACUUAGAAAUUUAUCAUAAUUAAUUUUUAAUUUUUUAUGAUAAACUUUACUAAAUUUCAUAUUUUCUAAAAAUUUUAUCUAAUAAUUAAAUUAUCUAAUAAUAUUUAUAUUUCUAUAUUAGUUUUUCAUAAAUUUUUAACAUAAAUAAGUGUUUUGUUAAUAAUAAUUUUGGCUAUGUAAUUGAUUUUCUAUUAAUAAAGUUUUAUACUCUAAA